GGUACUGGUGAUACUGGGAGCGCUGGGAGGUGACGUCAUCGUUAUACUGGGAGCGCUGGGAGAUGACGUCAUGGUGGUACUGGUCAUACUGGGAGCCGCCAUGUUGGUACUGGGAGCACUAGGAGCCGCCAUGUUGGUACUGGGAGCGGCCAUGUUGGUACUGGUGAUACUGGGAGCACUGGGAGAUGACGUCAUGGACAUACUGGACGUACUGGGAGCCGCCAUGUUGAUACUGGGAGUACUGGGAGAUGACGUCAUGGUCGUACUGGUCAAACUGGGAGCACUGGGAGCCGACGCCAUGUUGGUGCUGGUUAUACUGGUCAUACCGGGAGAUGACGUCAUGGUUGUACUGGUCAUACUGGGAGCACUGGGAGAUGACGUCACAGGCGUACUG
rnacentral:lncRNA from 1 species